GGCCUGGCUGGGCGGUCUUGCCGCAAGGUAAGCACUGCUCUGGUCGGGCCUUUCCUUCUGGGGAACCAGCGUGCUCUUAAUUGAGUGCGUUGGGGAUCCAGGACUUUUACUUUGAAAAAAUUAGAGUGUUUAAAGCAGGCUCACGCUUGAAUACAUUAGCAUGGAAUAACGAAAUAGGAC
rnacentral:rRNA from 1 species